UACGUAGGUGGCAAGCGUUGUCCGGAUUUAUUGGGUUUAAAGGGUGCGUAGGCGGUUUUGUAAGUCAGUGGUGAAAUACUCCAGCUUAACUGGAGGGGUGCCAAUGAUACUGCAGAACUUGAGUACAGAUGAGGUAGGCGGAAUUGACGGUGUAGCGGUGAAAUGCAUAGAUAUCGUCAAGAACACCUAUAGCGAAGGCAGCUUACUGGGCUGUAACUGACGGCUGAGGCACGAAAGUGUGGGGAUCAAACAGG
rnacentral:rRNA from 1 species